rnacentral:rRNA from 1 species
UACGUAGGGUGCAAGCGUUAAUCGGAAUUACUGGGCGUAAAGCGUGCGCAGGCGGCUUUGCAAGACAGAUGUGAAAUCCCCGGGCUCAACCUGGGAACUGCAUUUGUGACUGCAUGGCUAGAGUGCGGCAGAGGGGGGUGGAAUUCCGCGUGUAGCAGUAAAUGCGUAGAGAUGCGGAGGAACACCGAUGGCGAAGGCAGCACUCUGGGCCGGUACUGACGCUGAGGAGCGAAAGCGUGGGGAGCGAACAGG